AUCCAGCUGAUGAGUCACAAAUAGGAGGAAGUGCGCAUCCUGGAA
rnacentral:hammerhead_ribozyme from 1 species